rnacentral:misc_RNA from 1 species
AACGCAUAUUGCACUCUUUGGUAUUCCGAAGAGUAUACCUGUUUCAGUAUCAGCAGCAUUCUCAAAAAGGAGCUUGAAAAAAAGAAUCUUUUUCAAGAUUAUUUUUUGGAAAAUGGAUCAUGCAGAUUAUAAAAAGAUUUUGUAAAUCAGCUAAUCUAAAUUAUAGCAAAAUAAUAGUAUUAAAAAUCUUGGAAUCAACAAGGGCAAAUAAAGGUGUAAUAGUUGAUAUUAUUUAUCAUCUUCACCGAAAAUUUAAAAGCCUUUUUGUUCAUGAAAAAUACUAUAUAUAUCUUGCAGAAAAAAUCCAUAUCUUAACACAUCUUCAAAUUUUGAUCUGAAAUCAGGUAGGAUUACCCGCUGAACUUAA